GUGCUUGCUUUGGCAGCACAUAUACAAAAAUUGGAAUGAUAUAGAGAAGAUUAGCAUGGCCCCUGCACAAGGAUGACAUGCAAAAUUGUGAAGCAUUCCAUAUUUUU
rnacentral:snRNA from 1 species